rnacentral:piRNA from 1 species
UGUCUUCUGGAUAUAAACAAUAGC